rnacentral:rRNA from 1 species
AACGAACGCUGGCGGCGCGCCUAAUACAUGCAAGUCGAGCGAGAAGACGUAGCAAUACGUUUGUAAAGCGGCGAACGGGUGAGGAAUACAUGGGUAACCUACCCUCGAGUGGGGAAUAACUAGCCGAAAGGUUAGCUAAUACCGCGUACGCUCCUUGGACUUCGGUUCAGGGAGGAAAGCGAUACCGUGGGUAUCGCGCUCUUGGAUGGGCUCAUGUCCUAUCAGCUUGUUGGUGAGGAACGGCCCACCAAGGCUUCGACGGGUAGCUGGUCUGAGAGGACGAUCAGCCACACUGGCACUGCGACACGGGCCAGACUCCUACGGGAGGCAGCAGUAAGGAAUAUUGCGCAAUGGGCGAAAGCCUGACGCAGCGACGCCGCGUGGGGGAUGAAGGUCUUCGGAUUGUAAACCCCUUUCGGGAGGGAAGAUGGAACGAGCAAUCGUUCGGACGGUACCUCCAGAAGCAGCCACGGCUAACUUCGUGCCAGC